ensembl:lncRNA
GGAAAUAGCAGUAGACGUGAGGGAGGGGAGAUGAGGUGAGGGGAAUUGAGGGGAGGUGAGGAGAUGAGAGGUGAGGCAAAUUAAGGUGAGGAGCUGGGAGGGGUGAUGAGGUGAGAUAAGAGAAAAGGGGAGGUGAGGUGCUGCAAGACAUGUUUCGUACUCACAUAGUGCCUUAACGACGUUUUAAGUCAACUCUUAAAUCACUGGGGCUUAAGGAUGAAUCCGUUUGUGCAAUGUGUGGAUUACCUCUGUUGACUCACUGAUCACACCAAAGUCACUCAACACUAAGGACAGGUAUUGACUGCGUUAUCGAGGGCCGGUGAAAGGCUCUCAGCAGAUCCUCAAUAUCUCAGUGUGGAUGACCUCCAGACCUCCUAAAUGACUCCGCACUUAACCUCAUCUGCACACACCGUCGACAGGAGAAUAUUUAUGCAAUACUUGUGUUAGAGAUAAAAAUGUUUACUGUGUAAAUAUGUUUAGGUAUAGAGAGAGGGUCAUACUCUUUUGGUUCCUAGUGCUGUUAAUUGAUAUAGAUUAAGUAUGUUUAUAUUGAUGUAACUAUUGGUGAUGUAUUGAUGACCGGAGAAUAUUUCUCUUCAAAGGAUCACUUCCACAAUGGUCACGUGUGUCUUGGUUUGUGUUGUGUCUGCAAUGUCAUGUUUGGAACCGUUUAGUCAUAGCAUGUUUAUUUUGUAUUGUGAAGAAAAUUAAAUAGUUUAUGCAUAUUGAAAAGGAUUUUUAAUCAAUGCGAUUUUAAUUCAAGAUUAACAACAAUACUCAAUUACAGCGAUCGACAGGAAACAAUAUGCUCCAAGCACAGCGGAAUAAUAUUCUCAUUUCAGCUGAUUGAGUCGAUAAAAAAAGCUGUAGCGUCACAGUUGAAAAUAACUCAAAUCGAAUCAUUGUCGGUAAACGUUGAAGCAGAAUAAACCAUUGACCCUCAUGCUGGGUGAUAAUGGGAGGCGAUUACCAACCUCACCACCGCUGUCAUGCAUUCUCUGGUUGUUGGGGGGUUGUUAAGGGUUGUUAGUGGUUGUGACGGCAUCUUGACGGUUCAAAUCUAGCCUCUACUGGCCGUAAAUGGUCUCUACUGGAUUUACUGGUGUUCAGUGUUCACUAUCGGCCUCUCCUGGUCUCUAAUUGGUUUAAGUGGUCUCUAAAAGGCUGCAUGGUGUUAACAGGUCCAUACUGGUCUCUACUGUUGUAGAGUGGUCUCUUAAGUCUAUACUGGGCUAUACUGGUCUCUACGGGUCUAUACUGUUGUACAGUGGUCUCUUAAAUCUAUACUGGGCUGUACUGGUCUCUACUGUUGUACAGUGGUCUCUUAAAGUCUAUACUGGGCUGUACUGGUCUCUGCCGGUCUUGGCCGUCACCAGGGUGGUGUCUCCCAGCUCGGUGGCAGGAAGUGGAACGCGGUGCUUCCUGCCGGUGGCGCCG